AAUGGGGGCAACCCUGAUCCAGCCAUGCCGCGUGAGUGAAGAAGGCCUUCGGGUUGUAAAGCUCUUUCGGCCGGGAAGAAAUCGUGCAGGCUAAUACCCUGUAUGGAUGACGGUACCGGAAUAAGAAGCACCGGCUAACUACGUGCCAGCAGCCGCGGUAAUACGUAGGGUGCGAGCGUUAAUCGGAAUUACUGGGCGUAAAGCGUGCGCAGGCGGUUUUGUAAGACAGGCGUGAAAUCCCCGGGCUCAACCUGGGAACUGCGCUUGUGACUGCAAGACUAGAGUACGGCAGAGGGGGGUGGAAUUCCACGUGUAGCAGUGAAAUGCGUAGAGAUGUGGAGGAACACCAAUGGCGAAGGCGGCUUUCUGGACGAUAACUGACGCUGAGGCGCGAAAGCGUGGGGAGCAAA
rnacentral:rRNA from 1 species